rnacentral:lncRNA from 1 species
GCCAACUUGGAACAACUCCAUCAAAAAUACCAAUAUCUCAUAAUUCUAAAAACUCUGACACUGAUACACCACUAAAAGAUCCUUCUGUUGGAUCGAGAUCCGAGGCUAUAAGGGGGGAUAAUAGCCUCUUUUCGAUUUAUGCAAGUUAAUAGCGGAAUUACCUACACACACUUAUGUACACAAAUAGUUGUAUAAUAAUAAUAGUAUAAUAUUGUUAGCAAUACAAUACUAUUAUAUAAUUUUAAAGAAUAUAAUAUUAUAUCUUAUAAUAUUAUAUGUAUUGGACUUGCCUUUUGCUCUUGAAGUUUACUACAGUAUAUGAAUACGUAGUCAACUUUUCAGAUGGUGUUUUAUAAACAACUAUAAUAUAUGAAUACUAAGUUAUAUUAUAAACACAAGUUAUAUUAUAAAGUAAAUGACCAGAUAACUAGAUAUAUUGAUAAGCAAGUAAAUGACCAGAUAACUGGAUAUAUUGAUAAACAAGUAAAUGACCAGAUAACUGGAUAUAUAUAUGAUAAGUAAAUGCUUGAACAAAUAUAUGAAUAAAGAUUUAAAGCAAUGAAUAUAACCUCAGAUAGUUGACCAGAUAACUGGAUGAGGAAUCUGCGUAAAGUAGUCAACCUCUGUAUUUGACCAGAUAACUGGAAGAGGAAUCCUUUUCAAUUAAGUGUUGUUUAGUUGUUUUUAGAUGAAAGAUAAAAACUAGAGUUAACAAAGAACAACACAAGAGAUUUAUACUGGUUCACCCAAACAAGGGCUAGUCAAGUCCCGACCAACUGUCGGAAUUCACUCGCCUAAAGGUUAUGGCAAAACCUUAGAGUAUCAAGGAAACUCUUAAGAACCUCUCUAAGCUUUAAGGCUACUUCGCUUAGGAACCAGUCUUUUACGGGUAGACUCACACCUUAGAGUAUCAAAGGCACUCUUAAGAACCUCUAACUUUUGCGGGUAAGUUAGUACCUUAGAGUAUCAAUGAACUCUUAAAAACCUCUCUAAGCUUUAAGGCUACUUCGCUUAGGAACCAGUCUUUAACGGGUAGACUCACACCUUAGAGUAUCAAGGGCACUCUUAAGAACCUCUAACUUUUACGGGUAAGUUAGUACCUUAAAGUAUCAAAGAACUCUUAAAAACCUCUGAAAUCUUUCAAGGUAGACUCGACCUAAGAGUUUUCCUGGAAACUCUAUAAAACCAAACUAGAGCUUUAUGGUUGAGCUCAAAAACCUUCUCUCAAACUUUGGUACUAUUGAGACAACCCUCUCAACCAAAGUGGACACACACAAGAGGUGAUUAGAGGAGUGGAAUAUUAAAGCAAACAACACUUCUUACUUGUAAAGAUGAACAAGAAGAUUAGAAGAAGAAGUUGGAGAGCUUUUGAAGCUUUGGAAAGCUAGGACACUUGAGCACUUGAAAGCUUGGAAGCUUGGAGGCAAAAACGUGUGGGCAAGUGUGGAGUGAAAUUAAGCUCUUGAGUUUGCUUGUAGUGUGGUGAGUGAAAAUGAGGGGAUUACCCUUCUAUUUAUAGCCUUGGCCACUCAAUGUCCACCCUUGGAUCUUCAAUGGAUGGCUUCUUGAUUUCUCACAUAAAUCCAAGCUUUGUCUUU